ACGCUCGACACCUACGGGGGCAGCAGUGGGGAAUAUUGCACAAUGGGGGAAACCCGUGAUGCAGCGACGCCGCGUGAAGGAAGAAGUAUCUCGGUAUGUAAACUUCUAUCAGCAGGGAAGAAAAAUGACGGUACCUGACUAAGAAGCCCCGGCUAAUUACGUGUCAGCAGCCGCGGUAAUCUGAGCGGGCGUGGCAAGGC
rnacentral:rRNA from 1 species